rnacentral:lncRNA from 1 species
ACUUGGAGUUGUGCAUGUAACCCAGCCAAACAGCUACAUUCUAUUUUUCUUUUCUUUUCUUUUUUCUUUUCUUUCUUUUCUUUCUUCUUUUCUUUUCUUUUCCUUUCUUUUCUUUUCUUUUCUUUUCUUUUCUUUUCUUUUCUUUUCUUUUCCUUCCUUUUCUUUUCUUUUAUGGCUGCCUCACAGCAUAUGGAGUUCCCCAGGCCAGGGAUCAGAUCCAAGCUGCAAUUGUGACCUAUGCCACACCUGCAGCAAAGCACAAUCCUUAACCCACUGUUCUAGGCCAAAGAUCAAACCUUUGUCCCAGCACUGCAAAGACAACCUGUUGUAUCACAGUGGGAACUCCCAUUGUUUUUUUAAAAAUAAUCAUGUUCAGUUAUGUGUUGCCAUUGCCCAGUGGUCUAUAGGUUGUGCUAGAAAUGCUAACACUUAAAAAAUAAACAGAUCUUUGUAUCGAUUGUUAAUGCCCACAUCAUAUCUAAUUUAUAACAGGCAUUACUGUUUUUCAAAAGAAAUGUUGAACCUCAUGUGUAAAUUAACUGGAUAUCUUUUUUUUUUUUUUCUUUUUAGGGCUGCACCCACCUGUAGCAUAGGGAAGUUCCCAGGCUAGGGGGUCAAAUUGGAGCCACAGCCACGGCAAUGCCAGAUAAGAGCCACAUCUGUGACCUAUACCACAGCUCACAGCAACACCGGAUCCUUAACCCACUGAGCGAGGCCAGGGAUCAAACCUGCAUCCUCGUGGAAACUAGUCGGGUUCUUAACCUGCUGAGCCACGAUGGAAACUCCUAAUUGGAUAUUCUUCACGCUAAGUUACAUCAAGAUGUUGUACUUAGGAAGCAAACACGAAGAUGUUUCUUUUGGGGAAAUCAUCUUAAGCACCAGGCUGCCACAGCAGAUCAGGAUCUUUGUGAGCAACCAAAGAGAAGAAGAAUUAGAAAGCAUAAAUCAAAGAAAAAACUUAAAAAUCCCAAUAUUCAUGUCGAACAAGCAGAAUUAGAGAAGCAGCAGAGUCUUUUACAAGAAAAAUUGCAGC